GGGCGUCGAGCGGCGGACGGGUGAGUAAUGCCUGGGAAAUUGCCCUGAUGUGGGGGAUAACCAUUGGAAACGAUGGCUAAUACCGCAUAAUGUCUACGGACCAAAGAGGGGGACCUUCGGGCCUCUCGCUUCAGGAUAUGCCCAGGUGGGAUUAGCUAGUUGGUGAGGUAAUGGCUCACCAAGGCGACGAUCCCUAGCUGGUCUGAGAGGAUGAUCAGCCACACUGGAACUGAGACACGGUCCAGACUCCUACGGGAGGCAGCAGUGGGGAAUAUUGCACAAUGGGCGCAAGCCUGAUGCAGCCAUGCCGCGUGUAUGAAGAAGGCCUUCGGGUUGUAAAGUACUUUCAGUCGUGAGGAAGGCGUUGAAGUUAAUAGCUUCAUCGUUUGACGUUAGCGACAGAAGAAGCACCGGCUAACUCCGUGCCAGCAGCCGCGGUAAUACGGAGGGUGCGAGCGUUAAUCGGAAUUACUGGGCGUAAAGCGCAUGCAGGUGGUUUG
rnacentral:rRNA from 1 species